rnacentral:rRNA from 1 species
GACGAACGCUGGCGGCGUGCUUAACACAUGCAGGUCGAGCGGUAAGGCCCGUUUCGGGGUACACGAGCGGCGAACGGGUGAGUAACGACGUGGGUGACCUGCCCUCAGCUCUGGGAUAAGCCUGGGAAACCGGGUCUAAUACUGGAUAUGACUCCAUGACGCAUGUUGUGGGGUGGAAAGCCUUGUGCGGCUGAGGAUGGGCCCG